rnacentral:pre_miRNA from 1 species
UCAAAUUGGGUUUGGUUCGGGCGGAUAACCACGGGUAUGGAUUUUGUUGCCAUGCCUACCUCCAAGCUACUAAAGACACCUUCAGAAGAACCUGUUUAUGCCAACUAAGAUCUCUCGUUGCAUCAACAUCCAUAUUUUGAUGCAAUUGGAUGCAACAUCCCUAAAUUUGUUCCUUAAUUCCUAUGUUAUUUCCUUUUUUUUAUAUAUACAAAAGACGAUACAACUCUGUGCUUUGUAGUAAUAACCAAAAUUGUUAAUUUUUUUAAUAAUGUCCCGUGAGUCUAACUCAGUUUGU